UACGUAGGUGGCAAGCGUUAUCCGGAUUUACUGGGUGUAAAGGGUGCGUAGGCGGAUUUUCAAGUCAGUAGUGAAAUGCAGGGGCUUAACCCCUGAGCUGCUAUUGAAACUGAGAGUCUUGAGUGGAGUAGAGGCAGGCGGAAUUCCCGGUGUAGCGGUGAAAUGCGUAGAGAUCGGGAGGAACACCAGUGGCGAAGGCGGCCUGCUGGGCUUUAACUGACGCUGAGGCACGAAAGCAUGGGUAGCAAACAGG
rnacentral:rRNA from 1 species